AUACGGAGGGUGCAAGCGUUAAUCGGAAUUACUGGGCGUAAAGCGUACGUAGGCGGUUCGUUAAGUUAGAUGUGAAAGCCCCGGGCUUAACCUGUGAACUGCAUUUAAAACUGGCGAACUAGAGUUGAGUAGAGGGGAGUGGAAUUUCAGGUGUAGCGGUGAAAUGCGUAGAGAUCUGAAGGAACACCAGUGGCGAAGGCGACUCCCUGGACUCGAACUGACGCUGAGGUACGAAAGCGUGGGUAGCAAACGGGAUUAGAAACCCUAGUAGUCC
rnacentral:rRNA from 1 species